GACGAACGCUGGCGGCGUGCCUAAUACAUGCAAGUCGAACGCAGUGGGGACGGGUGAGUAAUACGUGGGUCAUCACCUAUCAGAGGGGAUAACACUUGGAAACAGGUGCUAAACCGAUACUGCUGGAUGGACCCUCGGUGCAUUAGCUAGUUGGUGAGGUAACGGCUCACCAUGGCCACGAUGCAUAGCCGACCGGAGAGGGGGAUCGGCCGCACUGGGACUAAGGGACGGCCCAGACGCCUACGGUAGGCAGCAGUGGGGAAGCUUCGGCAAGGGACGAAAGUCUGACCGACCAACGCCGCGAGAGUGAAGGAGGUUUUCGGAUCGUAAAACUCUGUUGUUAGAGAAGCGGUAUCUAACCAGAAAGCCACGGCUAACUACGUGCCAGCAGCCGCGGUAAUUC
rnacentral:rRNA from 1 species